CCUGGAGUGAGAGGAGAAGGUGGAUACCCGUCCUUGUCAUCUUUUCAAAAAAUAAUGUGAAUUUUAUUCCUUAAAAACUUUGAAGAGCGGAGAUAGAAUUAAAGUCCGAAUAAGACAGAGGCUCUAUGCCUACAAAUGGUAUUGACUGAGGAAAUGGAAAGAAACUGAAGAGUAAGCCGUCCCACGUAUAAAUGAGUAUGCAUUUUUAAUGCAGUGUUGGGUUUAUAUACAUUAAACAGUUUAGUUAUUCAUGUUCGUGAGUGUCUGUGGAUUUCUCAACUCCGAUCCUUGUUGAGAGCUCAACCUGAAGAUAGGUCUGAGUAUGUUGUGAUAUACCCGGAGCCAAAGUUUAAGUUUAGCUGAACCUUGGAGAAUGUAAACAUCAUGCCGGAGAACCGAGAUGCACUAGAAGCCCUGGCCCGAGCUCAUGUUAGGCAAGUCGCAUUUGCUGUGAAGACAAAUGUUAUGUAUGAUGGGAGCCUAGACGAUGAAUCCCCGGUUCAUGGAAGUGCGGUCAGCUUCAAGAUCGGAGAUUAUCUUCAUAUUUUUGAGAAGUUUGACGCCAACUGGUGGGUGGGAAGAAAGGUGAAGGAAGGGUCGGAUAUAGGAUUUGUCCCAUCUCCUGACCGCCUUGAGCAGCUGAUUCUACAGAAAGCUCCAGUAGGAAAACUGGACAGGGUGAAGACAGGAGCAGGAGCUAAUGGUCCUCCCACUGCUCCCCAGCAACAACAAGGACAGGAGAACGGACAGGGUGGCGAGGAGGGGGCAGCUGGGGUCCGGGUUUCAGCUCCUCCUGUUAUUGAGAAGAAGAAAGGUUUGCUCGGGAAGAAAUGUGAAACCUUGUCACCCUACGAUGUAGUGCCUAUUAUGCGACCAGUGAUAAUGGUUGGUCCUUCUCUUAAAGGUUACGAAGUAACAGAUAUGCUGCAGAAAGCUGUGUUUGAAUUUCUUAAAAACAAGUUUGAAGGACGGAUAAUAAUCACACAUGUCGGAGCAGAUCUUUCUCUGGGAAAGACGUCGGUACUAAACAAUCCGUCCAACCGUAAGCUCCUUGAGAAAUCUAGUUUAUCCAGAGCUAAGGAUCUAGCAGAGGUUCAAGCGGAGAUAGAGCGAAUAUUUGAUCUCAGCAGGAAUAUGCAGAUUAUUCUCGUGGAUUGUGACACCAUAAACCAUCCUUCCCAGCUCGGAGACACGUCACUUGCUCCGAUAAUGGUCUAUCUAAAAAUUACAAGCACAAAAGUUCUUCAAAGGUUAAUAAAGUCUCGAGGAGCCAGCCAGUCUAGAAACAUGAAUAUUCAGAUUGUUGCCACAGAGAAGUUGGAUCAAUGUGAUGCCGAACAGUUUGAUUUAAUCCUUGAUGAGUUUCAGUUGGAGGACGUGUGCGAGCAUAUAGCAGAGUAUUUAGAGGCUUACUGGAGGGCAACCCGAGCUCCCCGCCAACCUGUCCUAGACUAAAUAUAUUUCAUCCUUUAGUGCCUGACAAUCAAAAUACGCCUUGUUAUUCUCACAAAUACUCUUUAAACCAAUUCUUUUCAUAAAUUCGCACUUGGAGCUUACAGAUUUAAGAGGCCAAAGCUGUUCAGAGCAAAUUAUAGAGAAUCAACAGUUCCAUUAAAGUGGAGGGAACUAAAAGUUUUCAUUUCAAAGUGAACAAAGAGUUACGGAAUAUGAAUGCAAAUUCAAUGAAAAAGUGAUUACACCAAAUGGCAAUGAGUGACUAAAUCAAUGGAAAAUGUGAACCAAAUGGAUUUCAGUGAUCAGAAGUUUUAUGCAGCUGCAUUAAAUUGCAAGAUUUUCAAGGUUUGAAAUACCAAACUUGGUUUCUUUUUACAAAAUUGCAUCGGCUCUAAUAACAGGAUUAAUUCCAGGGUUGAGACUAAAAUCCAAGCAGCAAGGGGAUUAUAGGAUCUUAUUCUUAAAGGGACUGUGAGCGUAAUUUAAGAUGACAAUGCCCGAUUUACAAUGGUACCUUAGAAAU